rnacentral:rRNA from 1 species
GAUUAACGCUGGCGGCGUGCCUAACACAUGCAAGUCGAGCGGCAGCGAGUUUUACACUGAAUUCUGGAAGCUUCUAGUUGAAAGAGAAGAUUUAUUCAAGAAUUUUGUGUAAAAUGUCGGCGAGCGGCGGACGGCUGAGUAACGCGUGGGAACGUACCCCAAAGUGAGGGAUAACGCAUCGAAAGGUGUGCUAAUACCGCAUAUGGUCUUCGGAUUAAAGCCUUCGGGCGCUUUGGGAACGGCCUGCGUAAGAUUAGAUAGUUGGUGGGGUAAUGGCCUACCAAGUCGACGAUCUUUAACUGGUUUGAGAGGAUGAUCAGUCAGACUGGAACUGAGACACGGUCCAGACUCCUACGGGAGGCAGCAGUGAGGAAUCUUCCACAAUGGGCGAAAGCCUGAUGGGGCAACGCCGCGUGCAGGAUGAAGGCCUUCGGGUUGUAAACUGCUUUUAUAAGUGAGGAUUAUGACAGUAACUUAUGAAUAAGGAUCGGCUAACUACGUG